AAAGCUCAUAUUGGAAUGCAUUGUUCAAAUACUCACCCUUUUCAUUUUCUAGAAUUGAUUAUGUCAGUGUUUUGUUUAAAUUAAGGUGUUUGAAUGUGCCACAGUUCCGGGUAUGGAUUUUAUUUUAAAUUUCUUCCCGACUUUCAUUCAAAAGAAAGCCAAGUCACAUCUAAAUGGAAUCACAGGUUCGUAUGUUGGAGUUCUAAAUCAUGAUCGACUGGCUCUUUUCUCCAUCUAACAUUACCAUUGUUUGAACAUCGGUUAUGUUACGAUUGUAUUUGUAGAACUAUUGUCUACCCCUGUAACAUGAUAUAGGGUUGAGGUGGUCCAUUUCCCAAAAAAAGGGUUGUAUUGGCCCGUAUUGGUGUUGAUGUGAGGGCUAUAGAAGCUGGCUGAUACAACCAUAAAGUCCACUUUCCCAGUUACAACUCAUGUGAUGUCAAAGAUGAAAGGGAGGGGGAUUCAAAAGGAACCUGGUUGUAGUUCAAUCGAAGUGAACAUUGAGAUCCUAAAAUAUUUAAAUCUUACUUAAUAUUUCUCACCAGUGCAAUUGUUUUUGUUGCAGAAUACCUUGGAUCACUGCUUAGAGUUGACCAAUGGGCUGUAUGUAUUUACUGUAGUUGGAUGAACUUGUGUAAUCAGCGGAUACAUGUCGAUUGGAUCGUUCCUCAGCCUCAAUUUGAGUCACAUACACAAAUUCAGUCUGCCCAACAAGUUUCUCAAACCUAGCAGGUUAAGACUCAGCUCAGGCAGCAACAGCUGAUACAACUCCAACAACAGUCUUUUAUCUUCAUCGGUCGGUAACUUAUUACACAUUCUUGUAUAUGUCAAAGGUUGCUAUUGUUCAUUGUGUAACUCUUGCAAAUUGGUCACCAUGCAUCAAAGGAAGGCAGAGAUAUCCCGCCAUUCCAACGCUUUCAUCGCAUUACCAGGCACCAUCAUAAUGGCAGAUGGGAAGCAAGGAUAGGAACUUGACAAUGGCAGAUGACAAGCUAAAGAAGUCAUUGGAGGAUGAAAUUCAUUUUCUCAAGGGAAGGGUUUUAGAACUUGAAAGUGAUCUUGUGUCAAAGUCCACAAAAGUUACAUCUGCAGUUUCAGGGAAAAAAGAAGCUCUAUCUUCUGCAUUUACUGAAAUUGAUCGUCUGAAGGAAGAAAAUUCUGUAAAAACGUGAGCAUUAUUGCAUUAUAUGGAGGGUGUUUACUGUGUUGGAGUGUAUUUGUUUCUUGCACAUGAGGGCACGCCUUAGUUGUAAUUCUUAUGAUAGGUUGAGCAAAGUGAAGUAUUGUUUAUUUAGAAAUGUGAAUGUGGGAUGCAUUGUAUGAUUUGAUUGCUAUUUGUAAUAAAUGCAUAGUUUUUUUUCCUGAUUGCA